rnacentral:rRNA from 1 species
AUUGAACGCUGGCGGCAUGCUUUACACAUGCAAGUCGAACGGUAGAGGGGGCAACCCCUUGAGAGUGGCGAACGGGUGAGUAAUGCAUCGGAACGUGCCCAGUCGUGGGGGAUAACGCAGCGAAAGCUGUGCUAAUACCGCAUACGAUCCAUGGAUGAAAGCGGGGGACCGAAGCGCCUCGCGCGAUUGGAGCGGCCGAUGUCAGAGUAGGUAGUUGGUGGGGUAAAGGCCUACCAAGCCAACGAUCUGUAGCUGGUCUGAGAGGACGACCAGCCACACUGGGACUGAGACACGGCCCAGACUCCUACGGGAGGCAGCAGUGGGGAAUUUUGGACAAUGGGCGCAAGCCUGAUCCAGCAAUGCCGCGUGCAGGAAGAAGGCCUUCGGGUUGUAAACUGCUUUUGUACGGAACGAAACGGUCUGGGUUAAUACCCUGGGCUAAUGACGGUACCGUAAGAAUAAGCACCGGCUAACUACGUGCCAGCAGCCGCAGUAA